AGAGUUUGAUCCUGGCUCAGGACGAAUGCUGGCUGCGUGCUUAACACAUGCAAGUCGAACGGUGAAGGAGGGCUUGCCCUCCGGAUCAGUGGCGAACGGGUGAGUAACACGUGGGCAACCUGCCCCUCACUCUGGGAUAACGCCGGGAAACCGGCGCUAAUACCGGAUACGACCAGAAGCGACAUCUCUUCUGGUGGAAAGAAUUUCGGUGAGGGAUGGGCCCGCGGCCUAUCAGCUAGUUGGUGAGGUAACGGCCCACCAAGGCGACGACGGGUAGCCGGCCUGAGAGGGCGACCGGCCACACUGGGACUGAGACACGGCCCAGACUCCUACGGGAGGCAGCAGUGGGGAAUAUUGCGCAAUGGGCGAAAGCCUGACGCAGCGACGCAGCGUGAGGGACGAAGGCCUUCGGGUUGUAAACCUCUUUCAGCGGGGACGAAGCGAAAGUGACGGUACCCGCAAAAGAAGCACCGGCUAACUACGUGCCAGCAGCCGCGGUAAUACGUAGGGUGCAAGCAUUGUCCGGAUUUAUUGGGCGUAAAGAGCUCGUAGGCGGCUUGUCACGUCGGAUGUGAAAACUCGGGGCUCAACCCCGAGCCUGCAUUCGAUACGGGCUAGCUAGAGUGUUGCAGGGGAGACUGGAAUUCCUGGUGUAGCGGUGAAAUGCGCAGAUAUCAGGAGGAACACCGGUGGCGAAGGCGGGUCUCUGGGCAACUACUGACGCUGAGGAGCGAAAGCGUGGGGAGCGAACAGGAUUAGAUACCCUGGUAGUCCACGCCGUAAACGGUGGGCGCUAGGUG
rnacentral:rRNA from 1 species